AUUGAACGCUGGCGGCAUGCCUUACACAUGCAAGUCGAACGGUAACAGGUCUUCGGAUGCUGACGAGUGGCGAUCGGGUGAGUAAUACAUCGGAACGUGCCUAGUAGUGGGGGAUAACUACUCGAAAGAGUGGCUAAUACCGCAUGAGAUCUACGGAUGAAAGCAGGGGAUCGCAAGACCUUGUGCUACUAGAGCGGCCGAUGGCAGAUUAGGUAGUUGGUGGGAUAAAAGCUUACCAAGCCGACGAUCUGUAGCUGGUCUGCGAGGACGAUCAGCCACACUGGGACUGAGACACGGCCCAGACUCCUACGGGAGGCAGCAGUGGGGAAUUUUGGACAAUGGGCGAAAGCCUGAUCCAGCAAUGCCGCGUGCAGGAUGAAGGCCUUCGGGUUGUAAACUGCUUUUGUACGGAACGAAAAGCCCCGGGUUAAUACCCUGGGGUCAUGACGGUACCGUAAGAAUAAGCACCGGCUAACUGCGUGCCAGCCGCCGCGGUAA
rnacentral:rRNA from 1 species